rnacentral:rRNA from 1 species
UACAUCGGAACGUGCCCAAUCGUGGGGGAUAACUACGCGAAAGCGUAGCUAGUACCGCAUACGAUCUACGGAUGAAAGCGGGGGAUCGCAAGACCUCGCGCGAAUGGAGCGGCCGAUGGCAGAUUAGGUAGUUGGUGGGGUAAAGGCUCACCAAGCCGUCGAUCUGUAGCUGGUCUGAGAGGACGACCAGCCACACUGGGACUGAGACACGGCCCAG